GCGGGCGUAGCUUAGUGGUAAAGCUCCAGCCUUCCAAGCUGGUCAUGUGAGUUCGAUUCUCAUCGCCCGCU
rnacentral:tRNA from 1 species